CCUACGGGCGGCAGCAGUGGGGAAUAUUGGACAAUGGGGGGAACCCUGAUCCAGCCAUGCCGCGUGUGUGAAGAAGGCCCUCGGGUUGUAAAGCACUUUCAGUGAGGAAGAACGCCUGGUGGUUAAUACCCAUCAGGAAAGACAUCACUCACAGAAGAAGCACCGGCUAACUGCGUGCCAGCAGCCGCGGUAAUACGGAGGGUGCGAGCGUUAAUCGGAAUUACUGGGCGUAAAGCGCGCGUAGGUGGCUUGAUAAGCCGGUUGUGAAAGCCCCGGGCUCAACCUGGGAACGGCAUCCGGAACUGUCAAGCUAGAGUGCAGGAGAGGAAGGUAGAAUUCCCGGUGUAGCGGUGAAAUGCGUAGAGAUCGGGAGGAAUACCAGUGGCGAAGGCGGCCUUCUGGACUGACACUGACACUGAGGUGCGAAAGCGUGGGUAGCAAACAGGAUUAGAUACCCUGGUAGUC
rnacentral:rRNA from 1 species